GUGAGUGUGGCAGCCUUGGUAAGAAGGCUUCGACAUUUCGUCUUCUCUUUGUCAGUCACAUGACUUCAGCAGUGCUGUGCUCCCCCUCAGGUUGUGUUUAUCAAGAAGAGAAUGAGAUUAGAUGAGCUGCGCCACCAGCUGAUUCCUGUGUACAGCUACGACCCUGCAGAGGAAGAUCACCGCUGGGUGGAUGGUCAGCUGGAGAUUGACGAAGAGUCGAAAGAACCACUGUACAAGGAAGGACAACUUCAUUUACUGUAAAUUGAGGCGAUUGAGUCUGAAAUACAUAAAUGAUACUUCAUAACAUCAAUAAUAAAUAAUGUGUUAUUAAAACCAAAGGCAAAA